AACAAAGUUUCAUGCCCGCUCUCUACCACUGCUACUGCCUCAAAAUCCAUUGCCCCCAAUAAAUUACAUAUUCAAAAAUAUCAGAAAAUCAAGUGGGGUAGAUGCUAGACUUUUUUAAAGGGAAUAAGUAUGGCGAACGAGAAGAGUUAGGUGUGUACAAGGUUCCCAUCAUGAAUAUUGAUAAAGGGAUAAAGGAAGUAUAUGUAGGGGCCACAGCGAGAAAUCUAGAAAAUAGGAUAAAAGAGCAUGAACAUGAUGUAAAAAAAGGAUCGCUAAACACGGCACUCGCUAGGAGAGCAUAUGAGCAUAAUAAUAAGAUUUGCUGGGAAGAUGUUAGAGCAG
rnacentral:lncRNA from 1 species